rnacentral:rRNA from 1 species
GACGAACGCUGGCGGCGUGCUUAACACAUGCAAGUCGAACGGAAAGGCCCUGCUUUUGUGGGGUGCUCGAGUGGCGAACGGGUGAGUAACACGUGAGUAACCUGCCCUUGACUUUGGGAUAACUUCAGGAAACUGGGGCUAAUACCGGAUAGGAGCUCCUGCUGCAUGGUGGGGGUUGGAAAGUUUCGGCGGUUGGGGAUGGACUCGCGGCUUAUCAGCUUGUUGGUGGGGUAGUGGCUUACCAAGGCUUUGACGGGUAGCCGGCCUGAGAGGGUGACCGGCCCCAUUGGAAUGGGAAUAGGGCCCAGAUCCUUCGGGGGGGCAGCGGUGGGGAAUAUUGAACAUGGGCGGGAGCCUUGAUGCGGAACGCCGCGGGGCGGGUGGACGCCUUCCGGGUGGUAACCCGCUUCGCCUGUGAACGAGCGUUAGUGGCGGUAAUGGGUAAAGAAGCACCGGCUAACUACGUG